rnacentral:misc_RNA from 1 species
AAAAAGCCUGUGAAACAAAAUUACUAGACAUUAUCUUCAAAUAGCCAUUGUCCAAAUUACUUGUUUGAAAAGAGAAAGAGCGAAAUGGAGAGGGAAUUUAGAUAGCAACAGAAUAAUAAGCAAAAUAAAACAAAAUAAAGAAAAAGAAAAUGUCAUGUCAACAUUUCAGCAGGAGAAAAGCAAUGGAAUCUUGCAUUUUGAGCCAUUUAAUACACCUUUUAAAUUAAGUUUCUCUACUAUGUUGAGUAUGUUCAUGACUUGAUCUCAUUCACAUCAUGUAAUAUGAUUCAAAUUUCAAUCAUAUAACCAGUUUAGCAAAGACAAAUUUUAUGGCCAGGUAUCAUUAUGCUAAUGCUUCUCCAUUAUAUUUAUAUUCUUCAGAAAAUACAAAUAUUUGCCAUUUGAGAAACAACUAUUUCCAUCCCAACAAGUAGUCUUCAAAAGGAUAAGAUUUUUUACCCAUACUAACAAAGUUCUAACUCUCCCUUUUGAAUGUACUAUUGAAGCGAUUAAGACUAUACAUUACAAUCCUAGGCAAGCAUAUACGACGUCAAUCUUAUCUACAACAUAUAUACAAUUGCAUGACCUUCCUCUCAACUUUUAACAAUCCAAGAAAAUAUCCUAAAACAUUAAUAACUUUAAGCUAUCAAUUCACCUUCUCCUAUAGUAGGUGUGUUUGUGCAGUGGUUGUUUCCUAGCAGUAGGGGACAGGAGAAUGCUAGCUUAGUAACUACACUCUUAUGGUUAUAUUCAUCUUGACUUAACAGUUCUGAAUCUCCCAUACAUAAUUCUCAGCAUAUAUUCUGCUGCACUAUAU